rnacentral:lncRNA from 1 species
CUUCGCAGUAAAAGCUAAUGAAAGGAAACACAGGGUUCCCAGGGCAGGUGCUUGGCACUUCUCCAGGAAUAGGUAAAAGGGAAGCGGCAGAUGUUCAAGGGAAGGGAGCAAACAGCAGGGACAGAGCGUCCCUCCCUCCCUGGUGGGGAUGAGCAGAGCACACCUGCUGCUGUGCGGGCUCCCGCUGCCAAGCAGAGCGGCACAGCUGUGAGACCCUGCUUCUGGCUGCUUCGCCUGUCUUCAGGGAUGGAGCCCCUCCCAAGCAAGGAGAGUUCAACUGGGUUCUUUGGCAGCCGAAGUCUACACGGACCCUGCAGGGAGCGGUGGAGAAAAGCAUAUUGAUCUUGAUGAGAAAGCUCACUCAGAGAAGUAGUCAAGAAAGCAAUAUAUUGAAAAUAAAGCCAUGUAUGUAGCAACGAAGGUAUUCAAGGUGCCCACUUUGAUGACUUGUACUCGUGCCUUUGAUCCCCACUGUAGAAAAUGCUCUGCUCCAUUUCAAAAGAGAUUGCCUUGUGCCCCAUUUGUUGGCCUUUGGAUCAAACCAGCAACAGACCUCACAGAUAGAAUUCCACCAUUAGCCAUUCACAAAGAGGUAAAUUCUAAGUCCUUUGCCUCACUUCCAAAUAUUUCUCUCCAGAGAAAAGCUUUUUUUUUUUUUUUAAAUCUAUUUGUUAAUAUUGCCAUCUGUUUUGGUUACUACUAA